AUCUGGCUGACGAGUCCCAAAUAGGACGAAAUGCACAUCGUGUAU
rfam:Schistosoma haematobium scaffold1133_5, whole genome shotgun sequence.